UACGUAGGCAGCAAGCGUUGUUCGGAAUUACUGGGCGUAAAGAGUGUGUAGGUGGUGUCGUAAGUUUGGUGUGAAAUCUCCCGGCUUAACUGGGAGGGUGCGCCGAAGACUGCGAUGCUGGAGUAUGGGAGAGGAAAGCGGAAUUCCUGGUGUAGCGGUGAAAUGCGUAGAUAUCAGGAGGAACACCUGCGGUGUGAGACGGCUUUCUGGACCAUUACUGACACUGAGACACGAAAGCGUGGGUAGCAAACAGG
rnacentral:rRNA from 1 species